UUUCCGUAGGUGAACCUGCGGAAGGAUCAUUAAAAAAUGAGACCUCUUUGAAGGUCUAUUAAUAGUCCUACCCUUUGUGAAUUUGUUGUUUGAAAUAAUUUUUUUCUAAAAAAUUAUUGAAUGUCUUUCCCUGUUUUGAUGGAGCUGUAAUAGCAAAGUCAAUCAGGGGAAUGGCAAACGACAAUUUUUUUUGAAAAGACCUUUUUUUAAAAUUAAACUUUUUGUAUUCAUUUGUCUAAAAUUAUUUUUAUAAUAUAAAAACAACUUUUGACAAUGGAUCUCUUGGUUCUCGCAACGAUGAAGAACGCAGCAAAAUGCGAUAAGUAGUGUGAAUUGCAGAAUACGUGAAUCAUCGAAUCUUCGAACGCAUAUUGCACUUUUUUGGUUUACCAAAAAGUAUGUCUGUUUGAGUAUCAGUAAAAUAUUCUCAUAAAAACUAUUUGUUUUUAUGGUUAUGAGUGUUUUACAACGAUAAACAAGUUGUUUCACUUUAAAUUCUUUGUCUUUUAAAAAAUCAUUAAAAACUGAUUUUUUUCUAAAAUUGGAUAAAAUUUUCCCGUAAAAAGGAAUAACCUAAACAAUUUUAAUUUAGAAUUGGUUUGAUUUCUUUUAAGACUUUAAAGGAAAAAAAGUAAAAAUUAACUUGAUCUCAAAUCAGAUAAGAGUACCCGCUGAACUUAAGCAUAUCAAUAAGCGGAGGAAAAGAAACUAACUAGGAUUCCCUCAGUAACGGCGAGUGAAGCGGGAAGAGCUCAAAUUUGAAAUCUUCAAGGUUCUACCUUGACGAAUUGUAGUUUAAAGAAGUGUUUUCUGUUGGAGUUUUGGUAAAAGUUCUUUGGAAUAGGACAUCAUAGAGGGUGAGAAUCCCGUAUUUGACCAUUAUUUCCAACUUUGUGAUACACUUUCAAAGAGUCGGAUUGUUUGGGAAUGCAGUCCAAAAUGGGUGGUAAAUUUCAUCUAAAGCUAAAUACUGGCGAGAGACCGAUAGCGAACAAGUACCGUGAGGGAAAGAUGAAAAGAACUUUGAAAAGAGAGUUAAACAGUACGUGAAAUUGUCAAAAGGGAAGCGUUUGACACCAGUGUUGUUUUCUCGAAAAUCAAUUAAAAAUGGCGGGAUUUUGUGUUGUAUUGACUUUAUCAGCUUUCUGCACUUUUUUCAUGUCUUUUUUAAUGCACUUUUCGUUUAACAAGUCAACAUCAAUUUCUUUUGUUGUAAAAGGGUUAUUGGAAGGUGGCUUUCUCUUCGGAGAAAGUGUUUAUAGCCUUUAACCUCUGCAAUCGGAGAGAUUGAGGUCUGCAGCGUAGAUCCUUCGGGGUUAGAUACAUUUGUGCUAAGUUAUAGUCUUUUAUAGACAACUUGUUGACUAUGAUUGAUCUUGUAGCCUACUCGCUUAUGCUAUUUUACCUACGCUUAGGAUGUUGAG
rnacentral:misc_RNA from 1 species